GCCGAUGUAGCUCAGCGGUAGAGCAACUGAUUCGUAAUCAGUAGGCCGUCGGUUCAAAUCCGAUCAUCGGCU
rnacentral:tRNA from 1 species